UACGUAGGGGGCGAGCGUUGUCCGGAGUUACUGGGCGUAAAGCGCACGCAGGCGGUCUGCUAAGUUUGGAGUGACAGUUGGUGGCUUAACUGCCAAAGUGCUUCGAAAACUGACAGACUUGAGGGCUUCAGAGGGACACGGAAUUCCGGGUGGAGUGGUGAAAUGCGCAGAUAUCAGGAGGAACACCGGUGGCGAAGGCGGUUCUCUGGGCAUUACCUGACGCUGAGGAGCGAAAGUGUGGGGAGCGAACAGG
rnacentral:rRNA from 1 species